rnacentral:rRNA from 1 species
AUUGAACGCUGGCGGCAGGCUUUACACAUGCAAGUCGAACGAGUGGCGGACGGGUGAGUAAUGCUUGGGAAUCUGGCUUAUGGCGGGGGAUAACUACUGGAAACUGUCGCUAAUACCGCGUACUAUUGGAUCAGCCCAUGUGGGAUUAGGUAGUUGGUGGGGUAAUGGCCUACCAAGCCGACGAUCUCUAGCUGGUCUGAGAGGAUGACCAGCCACACCGGGACUGAGACACGGCCCGGACUCCUACGGGAGGCAGCAGUGGGGAAUAUUGCGCAAUGGGGGCAACCUGACGCAGCCAUGCCGCGUGAAUGAAGAAGGCCUUCGGGUUGUAAAGUUCUUUCGGUAACGAGGCGGUAAUUACAGAAGAAGCACCGGCUAACUCCGUGCCAGCAGCCGCGGUAAUUC